rnacentral:rRNA from 1 species
ACAUCCAGCGAAUUCGGUAGAGAUACCUUAGUGCCUUCGGGAACGCUGAGACAGGUGCUGCAUGGCUGUCGUCAGCUCGUGUUGUGAAAUGUUGGGUUAAGUCCCGCAACGAGCGCAACCCUUAUCCUUUGUUGCCAGCGGUCCGGCCGGGAACUCAAAGGAGACUGCCAGUGAUAAACUGGAGGAAGGUGGGGAUGACGUCAAGUCAUCAUGGCCCUUACGAGUAGGGCUACACACGUGCUACAAUGGCGCAUACAAAGAGAAGCGACCUCGCGAGAGCAAGCGGACCUCAUAAAGUGCGUCGUAGUCCGGAUUGGAGUCUGCAACUCGACUCCAUGAAGUCGGAAUCGCUAGUAGUCGUAGAUCAGAAUGCUACGGUGAAUACGUUCCCGGGCCUUGUACACACCGCCCGUCACACCAUGGGAGUGGGUUGCAAAAGAAGUAGGUAGCUUAACCUUCGGGAGGGCGCUUACCACUUUGUGAUUCAUGACUGGGGUGAAGUCGUAACAAGGUAGGCGUAGCGAG